UUCAUCUUAUCCUUUUAUUAUCU
rnacentral:snRNA from 1 species